CUAAUACCCAGUGGAGUGCAUUAACUCUUAUGAUUGCUUAAAUUGAUUUUACUGUUUUAUCAGUUACUAUUGAACAAAUGAAAGGAUGCUGAUGAAGCAGUGUACUGUAGGCUUGUCUGCAAAGUUUCUCUUGGAGUCAUCUCCAUAUGAAUGAUUUCAUACAGCACAGAAAUAGUUUUAUGUAGAUAUUGACCUUGGAAAGAAACAAAACCAUGGCUUGGUAUUGAGGUUAGGUACAUGGAUCACGAAUUGCCCUGCAAAGAGAAGGCUCUAAUGAGGGUGUCACCAGCCUGCGUCCUCCAUGUUGGUGUGUGGUGGCCACGGCCGGCUGGCAGGUGCUGCGGAGCUGCACCCUCCCCUCCUCAGCAGGUCGGGCAGAAACCAAAGUGGAAAAGUCUGUGGUAGAGAGGAAGCCAGGAAGAUGGCUUAGCAGUUACUGGCAUGUGCAGAUAGACUCAGCUUGGGGACAAUUAGUUUAUUGCCAAUUAAAACCAGAUUGGCCCAGUCAUGGCCUGAGGUGGGGCUGUUGGCACCUGCUGUGACAGGUCUGGGGCAGCUGCGGCCUGUCCUCACAGCACCCUGCAGGCCGCAGUGCGUCAGCACCCCAAAUACUGUGGUGAAACAGGAAGAUUUAAUGUACAACAGAGAGCAAGGACAACUUGUCCCUAGCCCUGUUAGAGGGCAAACAGGAGAUGUUAAAGGAGAAGACCAGUUCAGAAGGAGCAGGAUUUGAGGUUCCAAUUAAAACCGUGUUUGGGCCAUUGCUUUGCCUGCCAGUGCUUAAUCUUCUCCGAAAGCCUCAUCACUUAUCUAAAACAAAAGAAGAACGAGUUAUUCUUCUGCUGUGCAGCAAAAGGAAUACAGUACAUUUCAACCUACAGAAAGAACCUGUAUGUGGAGGGCUCUUUUUAUCUGAGGUGGUGGCACACCAUUGUUAGACGUAGAAGCAAGGCAUGUUUAUGCCAGCCAUGUGGCUUUAGUCAUGCUUAUGCCUGAUAUUAGCAUGGUGCUGCUUCUCUGUAUUUGAAAUGUCCUCUGCAUAAAAAUUUCCAUCACAGCUGCCUCAGCCAGUUGACAGAAUGUUCCACCUGAGGGUGCAGAUGUGCAGCUCCCAGAGCCGAGAUGGAUGGCUCCUUUCAGCACUAGAAGAAAAUGAGCCUGUAUCCCAGCCAUAAACUGAAAGAUGUUAUCAGAGAUGAGGUUCACCAGUUCUUAGGAAGAAAGGGGCUCCUUUUUUACACUGAUAAAUUCCUAUUCUUGAUGUAGUCUACAUACCUGAAGCCACACUACGAAGAGUAUCUUUCUACAUGGAAAUGAAUGAUAAUAGUUUAUUGGAUAUCUUCAGUAGACAGCAAGCAGAGAAUGGUAGUAGAAAAUUCUGUAAUAAGCAGAUCAGCUUCUGUAUAAAAUUAAAUAAUCA
rnacentral:lncRNA from 1 species